AUAUUUCCUUUUGUAGGGCUCUCUGGUGAAUCUCCCAAGUAAGACCCAUCUGGCUGACGGAUACGGAUAUUCAUAGUGUUGGACGGAAAAGGUUCCUGUAUGAUCUACACAUGAACGUGCAAUUUCUUGUCAGAAAAUUAAAUUACCAAAUG